GAUGAACGCUGGCGGCGUGCCUAAUACAUGCAAGUCGAACGGACAUCGCAAGAUGUUAGUGGCGACCGGGUGCGUAACACGUAGCUGACCUACCCUGGCGCGGGGGACAACAGGACGAAAGUUCUGCUAAUACCGCAUAACUCGUGAGGGCUUAGAAGGCUCACGGGAAACUUCCGGGGCGCUGGGAGGGGGCUGCGGCCCAUCAGGUAGUUGGUGAGGUAGUGGCUCACCAAGCCGACGACGGGUAGGGGGCCUGAGAGGGUGGUCCCCCACACUGGGACUGAAAGACGGCCCAGACUCCUACGGGAGGCAGCAGUAAGGGAUAUUGCGCAAUGGGCGAAAGCCUGACGCAGCAACGCCGCGU
rnacentral:rRNA from 1 species